rnacentral:piRNA from 1 species
GCAGUCUUGAACGUGAUGGACCAGUAGC